UUUUCGAGCGCUCCCUGCGAACGAAAAAGGACGGAAGACGGUGGCGAUAAAUACAGUUUUUGUAAUAAUUUUUCUGCUUUUUUGCUCAUUUUCAGACUUCCUCAGAGUAUCUGUAGAUGCGCCAGCCAGGAAGAGAAGAGGGAGAGUGACAAGUGAAAUAAAAUUUCUUUUUUCGUGGCGCUGGCUGUGUCUCGCGCGUGCUGGGGAAAAUCUCAGCGGGAUGCUCAAACUGCAUACUCCGCCGAGACGCGCUCCAUCGGACUGGCGCUGUUGACGCCGCUGCGGCCGGUGCGGCUGAAGGCAUCAGCUCAGCCGUCGUCGUCGUCGUGUAGCUUUCCCCCGGCGGAGGAGCCGCGUCUAGCCCCUCGGUUCGUACAAGCGAGAGAUAUUUUUCAAACAGGCGGGCAUAAAUGCCCCAUUUUUCAUCGUCAGUAAUAUCUGUACGAUGUAAUACAUCAAUCAUUUUUCUAUAAACCUGGUGGAAAUUGACUUCAGCCGGCGUGAGAUGUGUUUCGCGUAGACGUUUAUAUUGAGAAUCCGAAAAUAAAUACAUCUUCUGCAUCUUA